rnacentral:rRNA from 1 species
AGAGUUUGAUCAUGGCUCAGAAUCAACGCUGGCGGCGUGCCUAACACAUGCAAGUCGAACGCGACUUGGGCUUCGGCCUAAGUUGAGUGGCGAACGGGUGAGUAACACGUGGGUGACCUACCUUCGAGUGGGGGAUAACGUCCCGAAAGGGACGCUAAUACCGCAUAACAUCCUGCCUUUGAACAGGUGGAGAUCAAAGCCGGGGAUCGCAAGACCUGGCGCUUGAUGAGGGGCCCGCGCCUGAUUAGCUAGUUGGUGGGGUAAUGGCUCACCAAGGCGACGACCAGUAUCCGGCCUGAGAGGGCGGACGGACACACUGGGACUGAGACACGGCCCAGACUCCUACGGGAGGCAGCAGUGGGGAAUUGUUCGCAAUGGGCGCAAGCCUGACGACGCAACGCCGCGUGGAGGAUGAAGGUCUUCGGAUUGUAAACUCCUGUUGCUCGGGACGAAAAGCUCCGACCUAACACGUCGGAGUCUGACGGUACCGAGUGAGGAAGCCCCGGCUAACUCUGUGCCAGCAGCCGCGGUAAUUC